rnacentral:rRNA from 1 species
AAAGAAUUGACGGGGGCCCGCACAAGCGGUGGAGCAUGUGGUUUAAUUCGAAGCUACGCGAAGAACCUUACCAGGUCUUGACAUCUUCUGACAGUCUAAGAGAUUAGAGGUUCCCUUCGGGGACAGAAUGACAGGUGGUGCAUGGUUGUCGUCAGCUCGUGUCGUGAGAUGUUGGGUUAAGUCCCGCAACGAGCGCAACCCUUAUUACUAGUUGCCAGCAUUAAGUUGGGCACUCUAGUGAGACUGCCGGUGACAAACCGGAGGAAGGUGGGGACGACGUCAAAUCAUCAUGCCCCUUAUGACCUGGGCUACACACGUGCUACAAUGGAUGGUACAACGAGUCGCGAGACCGCGAGGUUAAGCUAAUCUCUUAAAACCAUUCUCAGUUCGGACUGUAGGCUGCAACUCGCCUACACGAAGUCGGAAUCGCUAGUAAUCGCGGAUCAGCAUGCCGCGGUGAAUACGUUCCCGGGCCUUGUACACACCGCCCGUCACACCAUGAGAGUUUGUAACACCCAAAGCCGGUGGGGUAACCUUUUAGGAGCUAGCCGUCUAAGGUGGGACAGAUGAUUAGGGUGAAG